UACGGGAGGCAGCAGUGGGGAAUUUUGGACAAUGGGGGAAACCCUGAUCCAGCCAUCCCGCGUGUGCGAUGAAGGCCUUCGGGUUGUAAAGCMCUUUUGGCAGGAAARAAACGUCAUGGGCUAAUACCCCGUGAAACUGACGGUCCCUGCCAAAUAACCACCGGCUAACUACGUGCCACCAGCCGCGGUAA
rnacentral:rRNA from 1 species